GACGAACGCUGGCGGCGUGCUUAACACAUGCAAGUCGAACGGUAAGGCCCUUCGGGGUACACGAGUGGCGAACGGGCGAGUAACACGUGGGUGACCUGCCCUGCACUUCGGGAUAAGCCUGGGAAACUGGGUCUAAUACCGGAUAGGACCACUGCCUGCAUGGGUGGUGGUGGAAAGCUUUUGCGGUGUGGGAUGGGGCCGCGGCCUAUCAGCUUGUUGGCGGGGUGAUGGCCUACCAAGGCGACGACGGGUAGCCGGCCUGAGAGGGUGACCGGCCACACUGGGACUGAGAUACGGCCCAGACUCCUACGGGAGGCAGCAGUGGGGAAUAGUGCACAAUGGGCGCAAGCCUGAUGCAGCGACGCCGCGUGAGGGAUGACGGCCUUCGGGUUGUAAACCUCUUUCAGCACCGACGAAGCGCAAGUGACGGUAGGUGCAGAAGAAGGACCGGCCAACUACGUGCCAGCCGCCGCGGUAA
rnacentral:rRNA from 1 species